rnacentral:rRNA from 1 species
UGGGGAAUAUUGGACAAUGGGGGAAACCCUGAUCCAGCAAUGCCGCGUGAGUGAUGAAGGCCUUCGGGUUGUAAAGCUCUUUUGUCAGGGACGAUGAUGACGGUACCUGACGAAUAAGCUCCGGCUAACUUCGUGCCAGCAGCCGCGGUAAUACGAGGGGAGCUAGCGUUGUUCGGAAUUACUGGGCGUAAAGAGCGUGUAGGCGGUACCAUAAGUCAGAUGUGAAAGCCCUAGGCUUAACCUAGGAGGUGCAUUUGAUACUGUGGAACUAGAGAUCGAAAGAGGUAAGUGGAAUUACGAGUGUAGAGGUGAAAUUCGUAGAUAUUCGUAAGAACACCAGUGGCGAAGGCGACUUACUGGCUCGAUACUGACGCUAAGGCGCGAAAGCGUGGGGAGCAAACAGG